rnacentral:lncRNA from 10 species
UCUUUCACCUAGACUGGAGUGCCAUGGCGUGAUCUCGGCUCACUGCAAUCUCCACCUCCCAGGCCUAAGAGAUCCUCCCACCUCAUCCCCCAAAGUAGCUGGGACUACAGGCACACCCCACCAUGCCUGGCUAACUUUUGUAUUUUUUGUAGAGACAGGGUUUCACCUAGUUGCCCAGGCUGGUCUCGAAUUCCUGGGCUCGAGCGAUCCACUUGCCUCAGCCUCCCAUGGUGCUGGGACUACAGGCGUGAGUCACUGUGCCUGGGCCUAAGUUCUACUUUUAAUAUGUAUUUUUGAUUCUGUGUUUUAAAAUGCUAUUACUCUCCCACUUCUUUCUACCUCCUAUACCCAAAGAGAAACAGGAAUUUUAACUGUGAAGUAAGAAAAUGGAGGCCUCAGUAACUAUUUGUUAUGUCAUUCAACUUCUUUCAACAUGUAUAAAAACUCUCACUUUAACAUAUGAUAUGUAUUUCAGAAAACAAGAGAACAACAUCUACUUGGAAAAUUUUCUUUCAGAUGCUGUUUGGAUCUGAUAACAUUAGCACAAGCCAAGAAGAAUGUUUCACAUGGUAACCUAAUUUCUUUUAGUAUGUGAAGUUACCUCUAUCAUUGUAACUGAGACAAAUAAAGUUAAUAGAAGGAAAGAUAGUUUAAGGCUGAAGAACAAAGAAUGAGAGAGCUUACAACUCUUAACUCUUAGCUAGGAAUAACCUAAAGACUGCCCAGCCAUUUGGUUUUAUCUUCUGGCUUCCCACCUCUGAACAGUGAACUCUUUCUUCACUAGAAGCAGCUCAUCCAGAGAGAGAAGUAAGAAGCUAAGGGAGGAGUGGGGGAGACAGAGUGGGAGAGGGAAAAAGACAAUACCAGUGCUGAUUAGUUAUUUU